GUUCCCGGUUUUCCAGGAGACUCCAGGACCCGCGUUCAGCUUUGUGUCCUUGUUGUUGCUUCGUCAGUUUGUGGCUCUGUAGAAGAUCCAGGUCUCUCUGCGGGUCCUGCAGGGAGGGGGACAGACCGGAAAUGAGCCUGGGUUCAGCUCUCGCUGUGCAGCCGUCUCUGUGAGCGUCUCCCUCUUAUUGGCAGCAGACGCACCGAUGCCACCGUUAUCUCUCCCCCAUCCGAUCCUCCAUCACUCAGCAGAACUUCUUCUGCUGUUCUGCUUCUAUCUAUGAAAUACAUACAGUCCCCUCCAAAAGUAUUGGAACGAGCCUUUCUGAUCAGCUGAGCAGCAGCAGAGAGGAAAACCUGCAGACUGAACUUUGACUUAGAAUCAGAGAAACUCUACCUGAACUCAUUUCAUCAUGGGAGGACAGGAGAGCCGACCUACAACACAAAAAAGAUGGAUCAGAGAACUGACUCCACAUCUGUCUGAAUUAAUGGACAAACUUAUUAAACUUGCAGCUUCAUUCAUCAAAGAAUUUGACAACAAUGCAUACAGAAUGAGAGAGAUUGUAGGAGAGAUUCAGAUGAAUUCUUCUGAAAUGAAAGAGAUGCAGGAGGAAACGGAUACAUCCAGAAGAACAGGAGUUGUUUUUAUAGGACUUGGACUCCUGAUCUUUGCAGGUCCAUUUACUGUAGGGCUGAGCUUAUUAGCAGCAGGAGCAGCAGGAGCAGCAGGAGCAGCAGCUGGAGCAGUAGUGGUAGGAGCAGCAGCUGCUGUAGCAGGACAUAGACAAAGACAAAUGUCAGCAGCAGCAACAGCUGUAGCAGGACAAGGACAAAGACAAAUGUCAAUAGCAGAAGCAGUUGCAGAAGCAUUAGUAGAAAUAGUAGGAGGAGCAGUAGCAGCAAUAAUAAUAGAAGUAGUAAGAAGUGCAGCAGCAGUAGGAGCAGCAGUAGCAGUAGUAGCAGCAGUAGUAGCAGCAGGAGCAGCAGCAGUAGGAGCAGUAGUAGCAGUAUC